UUUCAUUUCUUCCCUGGUGUUUGCUUCUGGCAUCCUCACUUUGCCAGACUCUUUCUUAGGAAUCACACGGGCACCUCAGUAUUUCCCCCGCUGUGUGGUCCACAUCUCUCACCACUUGUCAAUCACAUUCUCUGUGCUGGGAUCGUGAUGGAGUCUGCUUUAUUUUCUUCUCACAGCAGCUUUACGAAUUAGCAAUAUCCUCAGUGUAUCAUCAAGAAACCCAAGGCUCAAAGGCAGCAUGUGUUUCCUUCUAAGGACAAAAGACCCACAGAGAAUGGAGCCUGAGGCUUGGCAGGGCACAGGGCAGCACCUGGGGCGUGGCCUGCAAUCGUUUUGGAGCGGGCGGCCAUUUCAACUGAGAUUGAAGGGGAGAAACUGCAUGCAACGCUGUGGAACACCUCUACGCUUCUCUCCUCACAGGGGGCCCCGACCUGGAAGUUUCUAGGGCUUCAGCUU